AGGACAGUAGCUCAGUGGUGAGAGUGUCUGUUUUGAAUGCAGGAGGCCCCAAGUUCAGUACCUGUCUGAAUCCG